UCCCUGGUGGCUCAGAUGGUAAAGCGUCUGCCUGCAAUGCAGGAGACCCAGGUUCGAUCCCUGGCUUGGGAA
rnacentral:tRNA from 1 species